GAUGAACGCUAGCGGCAGGCCUAAUACAUGCAAGUCGAGGGAGAAUGUUGGAUUCGUCUGACAUGAAACCGGCGCACGGGUGCGUAACACGUAUGCAACCUACCCUUAACUGGGGUAUAGCUCAGAGAAAUCUGAAUUAAUCCCCCAUAAGACUACGACAUGGCAUCAUGAUGUAGUUAAAGCUCCGGCGGUUAAGGAUGGGCAUGCGGUACAUUAGCGAGUUGGUGAGGUAAUGGCUCACCAAGGCUACGAUGUAUAGGGGGUCUGAGAGGAUGAUCCCCCACACUGGUACAGAGACACGGACCAGACUCCGACGUGGGGCAGCAGUAGGGAAUAUUGGUCAAUGGACGCAAGUCUGAACCAGCCAUGCCGCGUGAAGGAUGAAGGCCCUAUGGGUCGUAAACUUCUUUUAUUAGGGAAGAAAAAACGGGAUGCGUCCUGUACUGACGGUACUUAAUGAAUAAGGAUCGGCUAACUUCGUGCCAGCCGCCGCGGUAA
rnacentral:rRNA from 1 species